rnacentral:rRNA from 1 species
GGAGGGGGCGAGCGUUAUUCGGAAUUGUUGGGCGUAAAGGGCGCGUAGGCGGCCUGAUAAGUCAAAGGUGAAAGCCCUCGGCUCAACCGAGGAACUGCCUUUGAUACUGUCAGGCUAGAGGCCGGGAGAGGGCAGUGGAAUUCCCAGUGUAGCGGUGAAAUGCGUAGAUAUUGGGAGGAACACCCGUGGCGAAGGCGGCUGCCUGGACCGGUUCUGACGCUGAGGUUGCGAAAGCGUGGGGAGCAAACAGGAUUAGAUACCCUGGUUAGUCCACGCUGUAAACCGAUGGGCACUCGGUGCUGUGGGUGUUGACCCCCCUACAGUGCCUUAGCUAACGCGUUAAGUGCCCCGCUGGGGUAGUACGGUCGCAAGGCUG